CGCUGGCGGCGUGCCUAAUACAUGCAAGUCGAACGGUCUUUCUAUGGAAGCUUGCUUCCACUGAGAAGAUAGUGGCGAACGGGUGAGUAACACGUGGGUAACCUGCCCAUAAGAGGGGGAGUAACAUCCGGAAACGGGUGCUAAUACCGCAUAGUUUUCUUGAUCGCAUGAUCGGGAAAGGAAAGACGGCCUUUGUGCUGUCGCUUAUGGAUGGACCCGCGGCGUAUUAGUUAGUUGGUGAGGUAACGGCUCACCAAGACGAUGAUACGUAGCCGACCUGAGAGGGUGAUCGGCCACAUUGGGACUGAGACACGGCCCAAACUCCUACGGGAGGCAGCAGUAGGGAAUCUUCCGCAAUGGACGAAAGUCUGACGGAGCAACGCCGCGUGAGUGAAAGAAGGUUUUCGGAUCGUAAAACUCUGUUGUCAGAGAAGAACAAGUUGGAGAGUAACUGCUCCAGCCUUGACGGUAUCUGACCAGAAAGCCACGGCUAACUACGUGCCAGCCGCCGC
rnacentral:rRNA from 1 species